rnacentral:rRNA from 1 species
CGACGAUGCGUAGCCGACCUGAGAGGGUGAUCGGCCACACUGGGACUGAGACACGGCCCAGACUCCUACGGGAGGCAGCAGUAGGGAAUCUUCCGCAAUGGACGAAAGUCUGACGGAGCAACGCCGCGUGAGUGAUGAAGGUUUUCGGAUCGUAAAGCUCUGUUGUUAGGGAAGAACAAGUGCCGUUCAAAUAGGGCGGCACCUUGACGGUACCUAACCAGAAAGCCACGGCUAACUACGUGCCAGCAGCCGCGGUAAUACGUAGGUGGCAAGCGUUGUCCGGAAUUAUUGGGCGUAAAGGGCUCGCAGGCGGUUUCUUAAGUCUGAUGUAAGCCCCCGGCUCAACCGGGGAGGGUCAUUGGAAACUGGGGAACUUGAGUGCAGAAGAGGAGAGUGGAAUUCCACGUGUAGCGGUGAAAUGCGUAGAGAUGUGGAGGAACACCAGUGGCGAAGGCGACUCUCUGGUCUGUAACUGACGCUGAGGAGCGAAAGCGUGGGGAGCGAACAGGAUUAGAUACCCUGGUAGUCCACGCCGUAACGAUGAGUGCUAAGUGUUAGGGGGUUCCGCCCCUUAGUGCUGCAGCUAACGCAUUAGACUCCGCCUGGGGAGUACGGUCGCAAGACUGAAACUC